ensembl:lncRNA
CAGUGUCUUCCCAGAGUCCAGCCAGUGGCCCAGAGCCCACGGCAAUGUCUCAUGUUUGUCCCUAUCACGGAUCCACACCCGGAAGGCCCAAAGGCCAGUAUUAGAAGCCAGAGCUAGAACGCUAGAGCUCCCUUGAGGAGAACAGCAGCCAUUUCCAGCGACAGCUAGGACCCGAGCACCUCUCCGAGGACUAGAAUAGCGAAGUUCGCAUCAGGAAAACCAACCGCUGCAAGCUUCUCCUAGAAAAUCAACAGGAGCGGAUCCUCCACUCCUGUCCUCUUUUAUGCUGCUGCUAACACUCCUCAGAUUUCCCCUGCUAAUAAAGGCAAAGAUAAUGAAGCUGGCAGACAAGAUUAUUUUCUGGAGUUUUCAAGAAAAAGUCCAGGACAUCUGCAAAGGGUGAAGGUUAGGAGCUCAGCUCAGUAUGCCCAGGGCAGUCAGAAUGGAAGAAGGAACUACAGCCCGGAAGAAGAAGAAAGAAGGAAGAUGAAGGAGGAAGAAGGAGGAGGAAAAAGAAGAAAGAGGAGGAAGGAGAAAGAGGAAUAAAGAAGGAGGAGAAAAAAAAUUACUAGACAGGUGGCAACCACCUUACAGCACAAGAAGGAAGUGUGACUGAAAAUGGAGCAAAAUGUCAGAGGACCAAUACUUGAAGAAAACAAUUGGAUCAAGGGACAUUGACUCUGUGAAUCAAGCAGCUAUUAAAAAAAAAAUCAAG